rnacentral:rRNA from 1 species
AAUGGCUCAUUAAAUCAGUUAUGGUUCCUUGGAUCGUACCUUACUACUUGGAUAACUGUGGCAAUUCUAGAGCUAAUACAUGCAGCAGAGCUCCGACCUUCGGGGACGAGCGCUUUUAUUAGACCAAAACCGACCGGUCCUCGUGGCCGUCCGAUGUGGUGACUCUGUGUAACUUUUGGCUGAUCGCACGGGCUCGUCCCGGCGACGUAUCUUUCAAGUGUCUGCCUUAUCAACUGUCGAUGGUAUGUUACGUGCCUACCAUGGUCGUUACGGGUGACGGGGAAUCAGGGUUCGAUUCCGGAGAGGGAGCCUGAGAAACGGCUACCACAUCCAAGGAAGGCAGCAGGCGCGCAAAUUACCCACUCCCGGA